AGUGAACGCUGGCGGUAGGCCUAACACAUGCAAGUCGAACGGCAGCACAGUAAGAGCUUGCUCUUACGGGUGGCGAGUGGCGGACGGGUGAGGAAUACAUCGGAAUCUACUUUUUCGUGGGGGAUAACGUAGGUAAACUUACUCUAAUACCGCAUACGACCUACGGUUGAAAGCAGGGGAUCUUCGGACCUUGCGCGAUUGAAUGAGCCGAUGUCGGAUUAGCUAGUUGGCGGGGUAAAGGCCCACCAAGGCGACGAUCCGUAGCUGGUCUGAGAGGAUGAGCAGCCACACUGGAACUGAGACACGGUCCAGACUCCUAAGGGAGGCAGCAGUGGGGAAUAUUGGACAAUGGGCGAAAGCCUGAUCAAGCCAUACCGCGUGGGUGAAGAAGGCCUUCGGGUUGUAAAGCCCUUUUGUUGGGAAAGAAAAGCAGCAGGUUAAUACCCCGCUGUUCUGACGGUACCCAAAGAAUAAGCACCGGCUAACUUCGUG
rnacentral:rRNA from 1 species